UACGGAGGGGUCUAGCGUUAAUCGGAAUUACUGGGCGUAAAGCGUGCGCAGGCGGUUAUGCAAGACAGAUGUGAAAUCCCCGGGCUUAACCUGGGAACUGCAUUUGUGACUGCAUAGCUGGAGUACGGCAGAGGGGGAUGGAAUUCCGCGUGUAGCAGUGAAAUGCGUAGAUAUGCGGAGGAACACCGAUGGCGAAGGCAGUCCCCUGGGCCUGUACUGACGCUCAUGCACGAAAGCGUGGGGAGCAAACAGG
rnacentral:rRNA from 1 species